AUGAAGAUAGAUAAUGAAAGGCCUUACCAUACCAAUUCUUUUCAUGAGCUUGUACCCAGUGGCGGCCCUAAAGUAGACGGUGAACCUGAAAGGGAAACUAAGGACAAUCUUUUGGAAGAUAAAAUGGUUGAACAGACCAAUCCAUCAGAGCAUGGUUUUGUGAAAGCUGAGCAUGAGAAGGGAGGUAAAACCAGACAAAUACAGAUUGAGGAUGUUUCUUAUGACAAGGAUGUUGUUGAGAUCAACCUGCCAAGUUCUGUGGUUUCUUCUGAUUAUGGCGGCCAUUUUGUCAAGGAUGUCUGCAUUGACGAGGGAGUGCUUGCUGAUCAGAAGGCUUCGGCAGAGAAGGUAGUAAGUGAAAAGGUAUGCCCAAUCUUUGAUUCUUCAAUGGCCGAUGCAAAUGGUGAUCUGAAGGAAGACGUAAGACUUGAUCCUGUGAAAACUGCAAAUAAGUCACAGAUAGUUCCCCUUCAUGUCGUGCAUGCUACUGAUGGUAAUACUAUGGAAGAAACAAGAGCUGAUCCUUCGAAAACUGAACAUGAAUCAGAGUUACAAAUUGUUACCCUACAUGUUCCAUGUUCUAUUGAUGGUAAUAAGAUGGAACAAUAUUCUUGUGGCGAAGCACGUGAUGUUGAAAGCAACAAGACUAUAGAUGAAUUUACCAAUGUAAACGAUGAGAAAUCAAGUCCUAGACAGUUAUCAAGUCAUGAAGCUGCAAAACAGUGCCAGCAGGUGGGCACAGUAAUUUCUGAGACCUAUGAAACUCACAAGCCACUUUGCGAUGGAGAAGCAAUUGAUGAGGUUACACCAAUCGUUUGCCAUGAAACUGGAUCGAGUACUGCACCAGAGUCCAGUUACCUCAGUGGUUUACCAGUUGAAUCAACUUCUGAUGGGCUCUCAGCUGUAAUUCCUGAAGAAGAUGUUGGUGCAGAAUUAGAUAACAGAGGAUUGAAUCCAGCUACUCACUAUAACCCCUUUAUCGCCUAUGGGUCGUUAGAGGACACAUGGGAAUCCAAGUAUGCUCUACCUACCAUUGUCGACGAGGUUUCUGUUGUACCCAUCUGCCCUGUUGGAAAGACAGAUAGUUUCAGUGAUCUUGUCAACGGUGGUGCACUGGGAGGAUUUGAUUAUGUUGAAACAGCUGAAUCCAGAAUUGGAGACAGCAGUAAGUUAGAUUCUGUUGGAGGACGUUCAAGCAGGCUGGGGGUCCAAGCAUCUGAAGAGAGCCAUGAUCAAGGAGGUCUUGUCGAAAGAACAGAUAGUUUUAGUGACAUCGUCAACGGCGCACCAGGUAGAUUUGAUUCUGUUGCAGCAGAUGAAACCAGAAUCAAACACAAUAGACUAGAUUCCAUAGAAGAAAGUUCAGGUAGGUUGGAUGUCCAAGCAUCUGAAGAGAACAAUGAUCAGAGAGGUACUGUCAGCGCAGAGCCUAGUGAUGUCAAGACUGAGGGCCAUCCAAAAAGCGAGACCGGUGCUGUCGAAGAUGAACAUGACUUCAACCCAAGAGACGUGGGGGAUGGCACAAAGACAAGGGAGGAAAGCAGCGGCGGCGAUGAGAGCUCUACGGUUUCGCAAACGGAGUCGGCGGUUCAGCAGAAUGAACCUGAUGGUGCAAAGCUGACGACUCGGGGUGGCAUUCGCAACCCCUUUGAGUCGAGCUUCUCUGGAGCAAACAUCACGCUGGACGCGGUAGCGCCCUCUGCGCACAUCGGCAACACUUCUCUUCGCUCGGAUAGCAGCACGACAAGUACUCGGUCCUUCGCAUUCCCAGUGCUACAGACUGAGUGGAACAGCAGUCCGGUGAGGAUGGCGAAGGCGGACCGUAGGCGUUUCAGGCGAGACCGGGGCUGGGGUUUCAGGGUCCUCUGCUGUAAAUUCUGA
rnacentral:rRNA from 1 species